rnacentral:lncRNA from 1 species
GAAAUUUAUAGAUAUAAAUGCAUACAUUGAAAAUGACCUGUAUCAUAUUAAGGAAAUUUUCUUCUAUUCCUAGCUUAUUGAGUUUUUUUAUAAUAGUGCUGAAUUUUGUCAAAUGCUUUGUCUGCAUUAACUGAGAUGACCAUGUGGGGUUUGUUUCCUCCCUUCUAUUAAUGUGGCAUAUUAUAGGCUUUGAUCCUCAGACACCACCAAAUGUUGUACUUGGGCCAAUACCUGGCACUUUUUGUGUCUCUGCACUUGUUCCUGACAACUUCACCUCUCUAAGAAAUAUUUUAUAAUCUGUUUUUAAAUUGGCUUAAUAUUUAAGAAGCAAGAAAUUAUGACAGAUUGUUUAAUACAACAUGGUGUCAAACUACUACUUUGUUAUUUUCUCCCCGGGCAUAUUCCUUUUGUUGAUAAUGGAAAAAUAAUGGCUACUGAAGCAGACAUAGCUCCUAAGUCAUGAAAAGAAUUUUAAGAAAACUGUCUUAUUUAAAAAUAGGAUUUUCUUCCCCUUAGUUUUCACCGUAUUUUCAAAUCCUGCCCUUCUUGAAGUUAAGCUUCUUAUUCUACAAAGCUUUCUCUUUUGUCUGCAUUCCUUUACAGGAUCAUCAUUUAUAUCACACAUUCUAGUACAUUCUAGUAUUGUCAUUGUUCAUGUUGUGGUAUUGUUUCCAUGAAUGCCAUAAGCAUCUUCUUCUUCCUGUUUGUAAACAGAUCUAGCCCCAGAAAGAUGGGACCAGAUUGUUUUUGGAAAGUGUGCUACAAAAACAAACAAAAUAUGAAUGUUCUAUUAUAAGCCAGGUUACAAAGAAAAGAUGGGUUAGAGUGGGAUAUUUUCUUCCAGAAACAGAAUUUUUGAAGAAUCCCAGUGUUUCAUUUGUACCCAUGAGAUUUUAAUUUAUGAGGUGACUGAUGACACAG